rnacentral:rRNA from 1 species
CAAGUCGAGCGAGAAAGUGGGGGCAACUCCAUGAGUACAGCGGCGACCGGGUGAGUAACACGUGACUAACCUACCCUUGAGUGGGGAAUAACUCCGGGAAACCGGAGCUAAUACCGCAUAACACCGCAAGGUCAAAGGAGCAAUUCGCUUAAGGAGGGGGUCGCGGUUGAUUAGCUAGUUGGUGGGGUAAUGGCCCACCAAGGCGAUGAUCAAUAGCCGGCCUGAGAGGGCGCACGGCCACACUGGAACUGAAACACGGUCCAGACUCCUACGGGAGGCAGCAGUGGGGAAUUUUGCGCAAUGGGGGAAACCCUGACGCAGCAACGCCGCGUGAAGGAUGAAGGUCUUUGGAUUGUAAACUUCUUUCGUUCGGGACGAUUAUGACGGUACCGGAAGAAGAAGCCCCGGCUAACUUCGUGCCAGCAGCCGCGGUAAUACGAAGGGGGCAAGCGUUGUUCGGAAUUAUUGGGCGUAAAGGGCGCGUAGGCGGUGCGGUAAGAGUGUUGUGAAAUCCUCGGGCUCAACUCGAGGCCUGCAACGCUGACUGCCGUGCUGGAGUGUGGGAGAGGUGCGUGGAAUUCCCGGUGUAGCGGUGAAAUGCGUAGAUAUCGGGAGGAACACCUGUGGCGAAAGCGGCGCACUGGACCACAACUGACGCUGAGGCGCGAAAGCUAGGGGAGCAAACAGGAUUAGAUACCCUGGUAGUCCUAGCCCUAAACGAUGAAUGCUUGGUGUGAUCGGUACCCAAUCCGAUCGUGCCGCAGCUAACGCGAUAAGCAUUCCGCCUGGGGAGUACGGUCGCAAGACUGAAACUCAAAGGAAUUGACGGGGGGCCCGCACAAGCGGUGGA